CGGCGGGAGCUGCGCUGCGGCCGCCGUGGUCGCUGCCCGUCGCGGAGCGCGGCUGGCUUUGCUGAAGGCCUUCUCGGCCUCCUGAAUCAUCUCGCUGCUUUCCAAACGUGUUUCGGGUGUUUGAUUUCAAAGAACAAUCUCUUACAUUCAGGAAACGCUUAAAAGACAGACUCAAUGCUUCUUUAUACAGUCACGCACGAGUGAUAAGCAGCCACGCUGAAACGCAAAAAAAAAAGUGAGACCUGCUCUACCAAAACCAAUUGCACCUAGGAUUAUUCAGUCUCUUGGAACAUAAAGAAAAAAAUUCCUCAUUGUUCAUGGAGCGAUGAUGAGGGAACACAGAUCACCAAAUGACUGAGAACAUACGGAGCAUAUAACAAACGACACCAUACCAGUGUCAGAAACAAGAUGGUUAAAUCACAGUAAAAAACAUGAGUCAUCAUCCAGUCCUUUAAAAAUAUAAAGGUGCCAGGUGAAAUCCUGAUCCCAGCCCUGCUGCACAGGGGCCGGCCGUGGGGCACCACACAUCCCCUGCACCUGGAGGUGCAGCCUCAGCCGAGCUCGUGGGACCCACUCCAGGCAGGACCCACACGGCACAAGGAGCCCAUCCUCAGGUCACGGGGACGCAUCUUUUCCCCUCAGUCAUAUAAAAACACUCUUGAUACAGAGCUUUGUGUUUCCAAGUGCUGUACGUGCAGAGCGUGCUCCUGCUAUCCCUUUCCCAUCACAAGGGAUCCUGUCUGGAGUUGCAUCAUCCCUGUACAAACAGUGCACCAAGCAGUGUCUUUAAUUUGCCUAACAGUGCUGCGCUGAGUCACGUCUGAAUAGCAUCCUACACCCAUUUACCUGUAAAGUAACUUGAUGCGCUGAGUGGUGAUGCGCUGGGACUGACUGUGCUGUAUCAGACAGUUUGCCUGGUGUAUGCUUCACACUCGGCAACUGAAGUGUCAGGUGAUGAUCCUCAGGGCAGGCAGAGUAGACAGUAUUACGAUCAUUUACAUUUAUGAUAAUUUACAUUAUGAUCGUUUCUUAUGAAUGCAAAUUACCAUCUUUUUGUGUCGGUUUAGCCUACUCACAUUCAGAAGUUGCCUGCUUCCAUGGCUUUUCUCAGCUGAAAAGAAAGAUCUUUUCAUUAUGAACAGUUAUAUAAAAGAGUAAUCCAAAGGAAUUAUGUAAAUAAGUAAUUAAAUCAACAUUUUUACAGUCAUUACCAGCAUGACAGCCAUGUGACAUUUGCACAGAAAGAAAGAUAAAUACAGAUUCUCUUUUGUCUAUUUCCUGUAUUCAAUUAAAAAUUAUGCUGAUGGCAAUACUUGUUACUAGAGCAGCCUUUACUCAGCAAAGAAUUGGGGGAAGCCAUUAAUUACAAUGUCAAUUGCUGUAGGCUAGUGAGAAAAUUCACCUUUCAGCAGACUGGUCAUCAGUAUCUGUUUAAGUACAUUCUGUCACUGGUACUGAAUCCCUUGAAAUAAAUAGUACAAUUUUCUCUCAUGAGUUUCUGUUUUGAGCCAAAACCUCAGUGGCUCAAUUCAGGUUUAGCUGGUAUUCUGGUCUAAUGGUCUUUGGUUUCUGCUGAAUACAAAGAAAAACGAAUGCUGGUGGGUGGAUGGGGUACAAGGUUUACAGUAAAAGCAAGUUUUCCAAAUAUACUUCAUCUCCGAGACCCAUUACAGUAAUGUAACAUAAUGUAAUGGCUGCCGGCUUCCUUUCAUAAUUGAAGCAUUAUUUUGCAAUCUGCAGUGAGAAGUUACAUAAAACCUUUCACAAGACAGAUAGGCAUAUGGAAAAGACAAGCUAGACAAACUGUUUCCCUCUGUAUCUCUAUAUUUGGACUGAUAUUUUUGACAUGAAGCAAAUGGAGGGAAGCACCAAAAGAGCUGUGUGCCUAUUUUGUCUUUCUGUUUCAGUGAAUCCACUCUGGACUCCUCUGUGGCUGUAGGGGUUCAAGGACCUUCCCUGUUAAUGCAAGGUCAAUCUGUACUCUCAUCACUACUGCAUUUUGUUAGUACCAGCUGGCUCCCCACAGCACCCACAUGGGGAGUUUGCAGUGCUCUGUGUAUGAUGUCGAUUAGUGAUAGAUGCCAUGCUCUUACCAGGGCACGUCCCUUCCUUCAGCAAAGGAGACGUGCAGCAAAUGCAAGGAAUGCAGCCCGUAGACAGAAAGGGGUCUGCAGCUGCUUAAUCACAAUCUUUCAAGUCUGUGACUCUGAUCUCAGCCCUUGCAGCAUGAAGGGCUAAACCGUUUCUCUUCUGUCAUUAACUGUUCUGCAUAUCAAAUUAAUAGGCUGUUAAUAGGGCACAAACAGUGAAAGUAAAGUGAACAAAAUCAUGUAAGUAAACAAAGACCUCAAUAACUGCUUUCCAAAGACCUCAAUAACUGCUUUCUAACGUUCCCUUAUUUUGGAUUAAAUUGUGGUUCUACUAUUUUUAAUCUCAGUCCUUUCCUCUGAGAUCUCACAUUGUGUAAAAUCAAGUCUGUCUUCAUUCUGCUCAAAAGGAGUGACACCAUUUUCACAUAGAUUUGAGUUUUGGCCUUUGGAUUUUUUUUCAGAUUAAAGCUCUGCUAGAGGAAACCUCAUAGCUGGCUGUCGUAGCACUGCUGAGCAGUAUUGAUUUUUAUGCCACCACGCCACCAGAGUUUGUGUAGGGCCACCGGUGCCCUGGCUGCUCUGUUCCCAUGGCAACUCAGGAAGCAGCUCCAUGCCCAUUUUCCAAUUGCAUUGUUGCAUCCCAUAGCCGGUCUGGGGUGCCACCUGCAACCUCGGACACUGCUGUUUCUACCAACUGACAAAAAAUGUUUUACAAAGUAAAAAAAAAAUAAAAAAAAAAGAAAUAGUGACAUUUUGUUUGUCAAAACAAGGAGCAUGAAGCUCCUCACUGCCCAAACAUUAGGAGGACGGCUGAUUUCAGGCUGCCAUUUCACAUUGCAUGCUGCUGCUUGCUAAUGUAAUUGGGAAUGACUUUGUUUGUGCUCCAGGGGCUGUGUUUGUUUUCACUGUUGCUGGUACAGUGUGCUAUUUUCUUCAUGUAUGUAGUAGUGAAUUAAAAUAC